rnacentral:rRNA from 1 species
GACGAACGCUGGCGGCGUGCUUAACACAUGCAAGUCGAACGGAAAGGCCUUUUCGGAGGUACUCGAGUGGCGAACGGGUGAGUAACACGUGGGUGAGCUGCCCUGCACUCUGGGAUAAGCCUGGGAAACUGGGUCGAAUACCGGAUAGGACCGCACUUCGGUGGGUGUGGUGGAAAGCGUUUUCGGUGUCGGAUAAGGCCGCGGCCUAUCAGCUUGUUGGUGGGGUAAUGGCCUACCAAGGCGGCGACGGGUAGCCGGGCCGAGGGGUUGGGCGGCCACAUUGGGGCUGGGAUCAGGCCCCGACCCCUACGGGGGGCAGCAGGGGGGGAAUUUUGACAAGGGGCGCAAGCCUGAUGCAGCGACGCCGCGUGGGGGAUGACGGGCUUCGGGUUGGAAACUCCUUUCGCCAGGGACGAAGCGUUUUGUGACGGUACCUGGAGAAGAAGCACCGGCUAACUACGUG